AUACGAAAGGGGCUAGCGUUGUUCGGAAUUACUGGGCGUAAAGCGCACGUAGGCGGCAUUGUAAGUUGGGGGUGAAAUCCCGGAGCUCAACUCCGGAACUGCCUCCAAAACUACAAAGCUUGAGGAUGUGAGAGGAGAGUGGAAUUCCAAGUGUAGAGGUGAAAUUCGUAGAUAUUUGGAAGAACACCAGUGGCGAAGGCGACUCUCUGGCACAUUUCUGACGCUGAGGUGCGAAAGCGUGGGGAGCAAACAGGAUUAGAAACCCCGGUAGUCC
rnacentral:rRNA from 1 species